UCCAUAGCUCAGUGGUAGAACAUAUGAUUUGCAUUCAGAAGAUCACAGGCUCAACUCCUGGCAUUAGGGCAU